UGGGGAAUAUUGGACAAUGGGCGCAAGCCUGCUCCAGCCAUGCCGCGUGAGUGAUGAAGGCCCUAGGGUUGUAAAGCUCUUUCACCGGUGAAGAUAAUGACGGUAACCGGAGAAGAAGCCCCGGCUAACUUCGUGCCAGCAGCCGCGGUAAUACGAAGGGGGCUAGCGUUGUUCGGAUUUACUGGGCGUAAAGCGCACGUAGGCGGACUUUUAAGUCAGGGGUGAAAUCCCGGGGCUCAACCCCGGAACUGCCUUUGAUACUGGAAGUCUUGAGUAUGGUAGAGGUGAGUGGAAUUCCGAGUGUAGAGGUGAAAUUCGUAGAUAUUCGGAGGAAAACCAGUGGCGAAGGCGGCUCACUGGACCAUUACUGACGCUGAGGUGCGAAAGCGUGGGGAGCAAACAGG
rnacentral:rRNA from 1 species